UUGACGUCUUCGACUUGUUAAAAUUCUUGUUCUCCCGCAAGCUCCAUGAAAGAAAAUUUGUAGAAUCCAGCCACCCCGCCGAGUUCAAUUUCGCCCACAGACUUCUCAUCAUCAUCUCCAUCAUCGUCCUGAAGCUCCUCCAAUUGUUUGCCGCCCCACUCGCCUUGCUUGGCUUCGUCGUUGAGUUCAGCCUCAACUUUUUGUCGGCCAACGGCGGCGUUUUUGGCCUCCUCAAUAUCUUCCGAUUGAGGUUGAAAUUACCGGACAGCUCAUCGGCGGAUUACCAGUCAAUAGUUGGUUGAAAGAACAGCGUUAGACCAAAGUAUAAAGCCUGGGGAUGCCAACUACAACGCUGCUCUCUGCAUGAUGGCUUCUAAACUAGUCUAUGAGAAUGAAGCUCGCGUUACGAAUAAGUUUUAUGUUUCUUAAAUUAUUAUGUUAUGUUCAAGUGUUUGUGUGUUGGUAUUUUUGUUGGU